CGCGCAGGUGGUUGAUUAAGUCUGAUGUGAAAGCCCACGGCUUAACCGUGGAGGGUCAUUGGAAACUGGUCAACUUGAGUGCAGAAGAGGGAAGUGGAAUUCCAUGUGUAGCGGUGAAAUGCGUAGAGAUAUGGAGGAACACCAGUGGCGAAGGCGGCUUCCUGGUCUGUAACUGACACUGAGGCGCGAAAGCGUGGGGAGCAAGCA
rnacentral:rRNA from 1 species